UACGUAGGGUGCGAGCGUUAAUCGGAAUUACUGGGCGUAAAGCGUGCGCAGGCGGUUCGUUAAGUCAGAUGUGAAAGCCCCGGGCUCAACCUGGGAACUGCAUUUGAAACUGGCGGGCUAGAGUGCGGGAGAGGAGAGUGGAAUUCCCAGUGUAGCGGUGAAAUGCGCAGAUAUUGGGAAGAACACCCGUGGCGAAGGCGGCUCUCUGGAACGCAACUGACGCUGAGACGCGAAAGCGUGGGGAGCAAACAGG
rnacentral:rRNA from 1 species